rnacentral:rRNA from 1 species
CAAUCAUGGAGAGUUUGAUCCUGGCUCAGGAUGAACGCUGGCGGCGUGCCUAAUACAUGCAAGUCGAGCGCGAAGAUCAGGAGCUUGCUCCUGAGAUUCGAGCGGCGGACGGGUGAGUAACACGUAGGCAACCUACCCUUGA